rnacentral:rRNA from 1 species
UACAGAGGGUGCAAGCGUUGUUCGGAAUUAUUGGGCGUAAAGGGAGUGUAGGCGGUGAGUUAAGUCUUCUGUGAAAGCUGUGGGCUUAGCCUGCAAAGUGCAGAGGAAACUGGCUGACUUGAGUAUUGGAGAGGGCAGGGGAAUACCCAGUGUAGAGGUGAAAUUCGUAGAGAUUGGGUGGAACACCAGUGGCGAAGGCGCCUGCCUGGCUGAUUACUGACGCUGAGACUCGAAAGCAUGGGGAGCAAACAGG